rnacentral:misc_RNA from 1 species
GUAAUGGGUACCUUGAAUAUGCUUGGCCUGGCAAAGAGAAUUGGGGCUAGAUUUCUACUCACCAGUACGAGUGAGGUUUAUGGUGAUCCACUUGAGCAUCCUCAGAAGGAAACAUAUUGGGGAAAUGUAAACCCUAUAGGGGAGAGAAGCUGCUAUGAUGAAGGAAAGAGAACAGCAGAAACCUUAACUAUGGAUUAUCACAGAGGUGCUGAAGUUGAG